rnacentral:rRNA from 1 species
AUGGGCCCUCUUGUGGUAGACCCACAUGUCAUCAAUGUAACUAUUUACACUCCAAAGGACGUAGACGCCAAUGCACUGGCCUUCAUGAUUCCAGGACCUGGAAUCAUACCAGCCGAUGGGUGGUGGUUUAUCGCUCAUUCAGCUGACGGCGAUCAUUUGAUGCUCAUUCGCACGUACCAAAUUGACCAAACCAUUACAUCAAACCACAUGCAGUACAAUGCGUGGGGCGUUCGUGACAUUGAUGGAUGUACUGAUAAUGAUGAUGGAGAUGCUGUGCAGAAGCCAUAUAUAUCAGUUAGGCUUCAAAAUUACCGAUGCAAGUCCAAGAAGGAUUGGCCGGUGCUGUCGGCUGGCGUCAAGAUCGAUCCCACGGAUCAGGAGCUGAUCGAGCAUCUUGAGGCCAAAGUGAGUGCUGACAGCGCAAGAUUUCAGUCUCUCAUCGAUUUGUUCAUACCAACCAUCGACAGCGAGCACGACAUAUGCUACACCCACCCUGAGAAACUUCCAGACCUGCGCAAUUCCAGGGCGUUCAAAAGGGGCACGUGGACGCGUCGCAAGAUACAGUCGGAGUGCGGCAUGCACGCGAUGUGGCACAAGACCGGCAAUACCUUGCCGGUGAUGGUCAACGGCGGGCAGACGGGCAGCAAAAAAGGUUCUGGUGCUGCACACCAACAAGAACUUCGACCAGCAGAGGACCAACUGGGUGAUGCACCAGUACCACCUCGGGGACCUGGAGCAAAAGAAGGAGCGGGAACUGGUCCUCUGCAAGAUUUUCUACCAGACGAACACUAG